rnacentral:lncRNA from 1 species
CUAAAGUACGAACUGUUGUGGUAGCGCUUUGCGUGGAUGACAGGCGUCGGCUUGUGCACAGAGGGUGGAAGGGUUAUGACCGUUCUGUUGUGUCAUGUCGUUGACAGCACAUCUCUUUUGCGGUGUAUUUCCGUGCUGGUGGUGGUUCUGUGGAUUCGUUGUUGUUUGUUGUGCUCCUGUUCUUCUUUUUCUUCUCAAUUUCGGGAGACUCUCUUGGCGGCCCUUGCUUUGUGUCCUUGACUGUCUUAACAAUUUUGGCACUGUCCCAUAAUACCUCGAUAUCAGACGCGUAAAACUCCUGUGCUAAGGCAGUGGUUAA